rnacentral:rRNA from 1 species
AUUGAACGCUGGCGGCAGGCUUAACACAUGCAAGUCGAGCGGGGGAGGUUGCUUCGGUAACUGACCUAGCGGCGGACGGGUGAGUAAUGCUUAGGAAUCUGCCUAUUAGUGGGGGACAACAUUCCGAAAGGGAUGCUAAUACCGCAUACGCCCUACGGGGGAAAGCAGGGGAUCUUCGGACCUUGCGCUAAUAGAUGAGCCUAAGUCGGAUUAGCUAGUUGGUGGGGUAAAGGCCUACCAAGGCGACGAUCUGUAGCGGGUCUGAGAGGAUGAUCCGCCACACUGGGACUGAGACACGGCCCAGACUCCUACGGGAGGCAGCAGUGGGGAAUAUUGGACAAUGGGCGGAAGCCUGAUCCAGCCAUGCCGCGUGUGUGAAGAAGGCCUUUUGGUUGUAAAGCACUUUAAGCGAGGAGGAGGCUCUUAAGGUUAAUACCCUUGAUGAGUGGACGUUACUCGCAGAAUAAGCACCGGCUAACUCUGUGCCAGCAGCCGCCGUAAGAC